rnacentral:misc_RNA from 1 species
AAGUCGUAACAAGGUCUCCGUUGGUGAACCAGCGGAGGGAUCAUUAAUGAGUUGCAAAACUCCAACCAUCGCGAAUGUAACCCAUUGCAGUUGCUUCGGCGGGUGGCCCUGAGAGGGGCCGCGCCCCCCUACGGGAGGCAUACCCGCCGGAGUCGUACAAACUCUUGUAUUUGUUGGCAUCUCUGAGUAACUUUACAAUAAGUUAAAACUUUCAACAACGGAUCUCUUGGUUCUG